GGAUGUGAGGGCGAUCUGGCUGCGACAUCUGUCACCCCAUUGAUCGCCAGGGUUGAUUCGGCUGAUCUGGCUGGCUAGGCGGGUGUCCCCUUCCUCCCUCACCGCUCCAUGUGCGUCCCUCCCGAAGAGGACAGCCUUCCCCAAUAGAGACGGACCGGUCUUCGGUGGAGGGUAUAUGAGUAGCUGCGCUCCCCUGCUAGAACUUCCAAACAAGCUCUCAAGAAGACAAUAAAUAGUUAUUGCUAUAAUCACAUUGUUUGGCAAUUGAGUUAACUUUGAAAAAUCCAUUUGUUAGGAUUUGCAUACACACCAU
rnacentral:snRNA from 1 species